rnacentral:rRNA from 1 species
AUUGAACGCUGGCGGCAGGCCUAACACAUGCAAGUCGAGCGGAUGAAGGGAGCUUGCUCCUGGAUUCAGCGGCGGACGGGUGAGUAAUGCCUAGGAAUCUGCCUGGUAGUGGGGGAUAACGUCCGGAAACGGGCGCUAAUACCGCAUACGUCCUGAGGGAGAAAGUGGGGGAUCUUCGGACCUCACGCUAUCAGAUGAGCCUAGGUCGGAUUAGCUAGUUGGUGGGGUAAAGGCCUACCAAGGCGACGAUCCGUAACUGGUCUGAGAGGAUGAUCAGUCACACCGGGACUGGAGACACGGUCCAGACUCCUACGGGAGGCAGAGGUGGGGAAUAUUGGAAAAGGGGCGAAACCCGGACCCACCCAUGCCCGGUGUGUGAAGAAGGUCUUCGGAUUGUAAAGCACUUUAAGUGGGAGGAAGGGCAGUAAGUUAAUACCUUGCUGUUUUGACGUUACCAACAGAAUAAGCACCGGCUAACUUCGUG